rnacentral:rRNA from 1 species
GGUCCCGCCUGCCCUGUGACCCCCAGUUUAACGGCCGCGGUAUUUUGACCGUGCAAAGGUAGCGCAAUCACUUGUCCCUUAAAUGAGGACCUGUAUGAAUGGCACAACGAGGGCUUAACUGUCUCCUUUCCCCGGUCAAUGAAAUUGAUCUUCCCGUGCAGAAGCGGGAAUCCUAACAUAAGACGAGAAGACCCUAUGGAGCUUUAGACUCCAGAAUAGACCAUGUCAGCCACUCCCGUUAAACACAGUAGCAACUAUUGAGCCUCUAUUCUCUGUCUUUGGUUGGGGCGACCACGGGGAAGAAAAAAUCCCCCAUGUGGACCGGGAGCACCAAUCUCACUCCCACAACCACGAGCCACAGCUCUAAUGCGCAGAAUUUCUGACCAUAUAGAUCCGGCAACUAGCCGAUCAACGGACCGAGUUACCCUAGGGAUAACAGCGCAAUCCCCUUUAAGAGUCCCUAUCGACAAGGGGGUUUACGACCUCGAUGUUGGAUCAAGACAUCCUAAUGGUGCAGCCGCUAUUAAGGGUUCGUUUGUUCAACGAUUAAAGUCUU